GAUGAACGCUGGCGGCGUGCUUAACACAUGCAAGUCGAACGGAAAGGCCCAAGCUUGCUUGGGUACUCGAGUGGCGAACGGGUGAGUAACACGUGGGUGAUCUGCCCUGCACUUCGGGAUAAGCCUGGGAAACUGGGUCUAAUACCGGAUAGGACCACUUCUUGGAUGUUGUGGUGGAAAGUUUUUUCGGUGUGGGAUGAGCUCGCGGCCUAUCAGCUUGUUGGUGGGGUAAUGGCCUACCAAGGCGUCGACGGGUAGCCGGCCUGAGAGGGUGUACGGCCACAUUGGGACUGAGAUACGGCCCAGACUCCUACGGGAGGCAGCAGUGGGGAAUAUUGCACAAUGGGCGCAAGCCUGAUGCAGCGACGCCGCGUGGGGGAUGACGGCCUUCGGGUUGUAAACUCCUUUCGCGAGGGACGAAGCGUUUUGUGACGGUACCUGGAGAAGAAGCACCGGCUAACUACGUG
rnacentral:rRNA from 1 species